GGGGCUCUGGGUCUUGUCCAAAGAUCCUAACAGGCUUUUACCAAUGGAUUUUUACAGUGUACUGACAAUGACUGGAGAACACCCUGGGAUGAAGAGUCCAGCCCUACCAUGGUUAAUGCGGGCACAAGUGAUGCAGGAGUGACGCAGAAAGAUCUGCAAUUCAGCUGUCACCUUGUUUGUGCCUGUUGAAGCAGCUGUAUCAAAGCUCAUGUAACACUGGGGAGGGGGCAAGGCUUGUUGUCAGCAUUUAGGUCUGAAAAACUGGAAAUGAUGGGUCCUGUCACACAGAUUCCAAAUUGAACUAAAAUCCUUUCAAAUUAAGACAAAAAACAUCUACAAAUCAAAAGGCCGAAUUCUGAAACGUGUGAUGGGUUAUACCCAAGUGAGUAAUGCCACGCCAUUGCUUCCUGCCAGUCCAAUGACUCUUCUGGAUGGGGUGAGUCAGCCAAGGA